UACGUAGGGGGCAAGCGUUGUCCGGAAUCAUUGGGCGUAAAGAGCGUGUAGGCGGCCCGGUCAGUCCGCCGUGAAAGUCCAGGGCUCAACCCUGGAAUGCCGGUGGAUACUGCCGGGCUGGAGUCCGGAAGAGGCGAGUGGAAUUCCUGGUGUAGCGGUGAAAUGCGUAGAUAUCGUAAGGAAGACCAGUGGCGAAGGCGGGUCUCUGGACAGUUCCUGACGCUGAGGCACGAAGGCCAGGGGAGCAAACGGG
rnacentral:rRNA from 1 species